rnacentral:lncRNA from 1 species
AUGGAGGCGGGCGCCGGGGCCGGCGCGGGCGCCUCGGGCUGGAGCUGCCCGGGCCCAGGACCCACAGUGACCACUUUAGGCUCCUAUGAGGUGUCGGAGGGUUGUGAGAGGAAGAAGGGCCAACGCUGGGGGUCUUUGGAACGGCGGGGGAUGCAAGCUAUGGAGGGGGAAGUGUUACUCCCAGCUCUCUACGAGGAGGAAGAGGAGGAGGAGGAGGAAGAAGAGAUGGAAGAAGAGGAUGAUCCAGGGCAGAAAGGCGGCAACGCAGGCUCCCUGUCGGUUAGCAAGCACCGAGGCCUGAGCCUCACGGAGACGGAGCUGGAGGAGCUGAGGGCUCAGGUGCUGCGGCUGGUGGCAGAACUGGAGGAGACCCGGGAGCUGGCAGGGCAGCACGAAGAUGACUCUCUGGAGCUGCAGGGGCUCCUGGAGGACGAGCGGCUGGCCAGCGCCCAGCAGGCAGAGGUGUUCACUAAGCAGAUCCAGCAGCUCCAGGGUGAGCUGCGGUCCCUGCGGGAGGAAAUUUCCCUGUUAGAGCGUGAAAAAGAAUGUGAACUUAAGGAAAUAGAACAGGAGUUGCAUUUAGCCCGGGCUGAGAUCCAGACUCUGCGGCAAGCAGCGGAGGACUCCGCGACUGAACACGACAGUGACAUAGCCUCCCUGCAGGAGGACAUCUGCCGGAUGCAGAAUGAACUCGAGGACAUGGACCGAAUCCGAGGAGAGUAUGAGAUGGAGAUCACCUCCCUCCGUGCAGAAAUAGACAUGAAGAACUCUGACCCUUCCAAUAGUUUCAGUCUCUCAGAUUUCUCUGAGAUGCAAGAAGAGUUGCAGCAACUGCGGGAACGCUACCACUUCCUGAACGAGGAGUACCGGGCCCUGCAGGAGAGCAACAGCAGCCUCACAGGGCAGCUUGCAGAUCUGGAGAGUGAGAGGACACGAAGAGCAACAGAAAGAUGGCUGGAGUCCCAAACGCUACGGACUAUGAGGUCAGCAGAGUCUCAGACCUCAGAAGAGGAUUUCCUGGAGCCCGAUCCUGGAAUGCAUUUGUUGCGGCAGCAGCUACUGGGAGCCAAGGAGCAGAUGCAUGACAUGCAGAGCAAGUGUAAGAAAUUGACUUGUGAGUUGCAAGAGCUACAUCACCAUCGCCGGACCAGUGAGGAGGAGCAGAAGCGGCUGCAGAGGGAGCUAAAGUGUGCACAGAAUGAGGUGCUUCGGUUUCAGACGUCCCACAGCGUCACCCAGGAGCUACAGUGCCAGCUACAGAAGCUGCAGCUGCAGUGCCACAGCAUCUCAUGUGAGAAGAACAAGCUGCUGGACGUGCAGCAGCACCUGCGGGACACUCUGCGCUGCCACGAGGCUGAGGUGCAGCACCUCAGGGGUGUUGUGACCACCUACCAGGAGAGCAGCGAGAAGAGUGCAGAGGUCCACGCCCAGCUGCAGGAGACGAAGCGGCUGUACCAGUGCAGCCAGGAAACGCUGGACCGGCAGAAGCACAUGUAUGACCAGCUGGAGCAGGACUUCCUACUCUGCCAGCAGGAGCUGCAGCAGCUCAGGAGCACCCAGUCCAUCCUAGAGGACAAGGGGAAGUGUGCUAAUAAGUCAUCCCCCACCCCCGAUCCCCCCAUCUUCUCCUUGCCUCUCGUAGGCCUGGUGGUCAUAUCGGCUUUGCUCUGGUGCUGGUGGGCCGAGACGUCGUCCUAA